rnacentral:rRNA from 1 species
UUAGUGGAAGAUCCCCCACACUGGCACUGAGAUACGGGCCAGACUCCUACGGGAGGCAGCAGUAGGGAAUAUUGGUCAAUGGGCGCAAGCCUGAACCAGCCAUGCCGCGUGCAGGAUGAAGGCUUUCUGAGUUGUAAACUGCUUUUGUACAGGAACAAAAAAGCCUCUGCGGAGGUUCUUGAGCGUACUGUAAGAAUAAGCACCGGCUAAUUCCGUGCCAGCAGCCGCGGUAAGACGGAAGGUGCAAGCGUUAUCCGGUUUUAUUGGGUUUAAAGGGUGCGUAGGCGGUUUAUUAAGUCAGUUGUGAAAUCUUAGUGCUUAACGCUAAAACUGCAAUUGAUACUGAUAGACUUGAGUUAAGAAGAGGUAAGUAGAAUUUAUGGUGUAGUAGUGAAAUGCUUAGAUAUCAUAAGGAAUACCAAUGGCGUAGGCA